GAGUCUCUCUGAGAUUCAUCCCCUCCAUCCUCCACUAUGCCGUCCUUUGUGACAAUACUCAUUGCACUGACCGCUUCCUCCUCAUGUGUUCUCUCACAGGUGGUUCUUACCCAGUCAGAGGCAGUACUGAAAAAACCUGGAGAAUCCCAUCAACUGACUUGUGCUGUUACUGGGCUUACUCUGAGUAGCGCCUGGAUGGGUUGGAUCAGACAGAAACCUGGCAAAGGACUUGAAUGGCUUGUGAACUAUUAUGGCACUUCUUCUGGGCAUAGUGCUUAUUCUUCUACAAUCCAAGGGCGAUUCACAGCCUCAAAGAGAGGCUCCAACUUCUACCUUCAAAUGAACAGCCUAAAGGCAGAAGACUCAGCCAUGUAUUACUGUGCAAGAGACACACAGUGA